GACGAACGCUGGCGGCGUGCUUAACACAUGCAAGUCGAACGGAAAGGCCCUGCUUUUGUGGGGUGCUCGAGUGGCGAACGGGUGAGUAACACGUGAGUAACCUGCCCUUGACUUUGGGAUAACUUCAGGAAACAGGGGCUAAUACCGGAUAGGAGCUCCUGCUGCAUGGGGGGGGUUGGAAAGUUUCGGCGGUUGGGGAUGGACUCGCGGCUUAUCAGCUUGUUGGUGGGGUAGUGGCUUACCAAGGCUUUGACGGGUAGCCGGCCUGAGAGGGUGACCGGCCACAUUGGGACUGAGAUACGGCCCAGACUCCUACGGGAGGCAGCAGUGGGGAAUAUUGCACAAUGGGCGGAAGCCUGAUGCAGCGACGCCGCGUGCGGGAUGACGGCCUUCGGGUUGUAAACCGCUUUCGCCUGUGACGAAGCGUGAGUGACGGUACUGGGUAAAGAAGCACCGGCUAACUACGUG
rnacentral:rRNA from 1 species